GAUGAACGCUAGCGGCAGGCCUAACACAUGCAAGUCGAGGGGUAGAAGUUGCUUGCAACUUUGAGACCGGCGCACGGGUGCGUAACGCGUAUGCAAUCUGCCUUGUACUGAGGGAUAGCCCAGAGAAAUUGGAUUAAUACCUCAUAGCAUUAUGAAAUCGCAUGGUUUUAUAAUUAAAGUUCCAACGGUACAAGAUGAGCAUGCGUCCCAUUAGUUAGUUGGUAAGGUAACGGCUUACCAAGACGAUGAUGGGUAGGGGUCCUGAGAGGGAGAUCCCCCACACUGGUACUGAGACACGGACCAGACUCCUACGGGAGGCAGCAGUGAGGAAUAUUGGUCAAUGGGCGCAAGCCUGAACCAGCCAUGCCGCGUGCAAGAUGACGGUCCUAUGGAUUGUAAACUGCUUUUAUACGGGAAGAAACACUCCUACGUGUAGGAACUUGACGGUACCGUAAGAAUAAGGAUCGGCUAACUCCGUGCCAGCCGCCGCGGUAAUAC
rnacentral:rRNA from 1 species